GGGAAACUACUCAAAUGUUGGAAAACUUCCCUACCAGUUCUCUAGUAGACCCAAGUCUGUUUGGUUGCCUGGAGGAGGACGUCUGACUAGGUCUCCUACAUUCAGGCUAAUUUGUCACCUGUCUCCUGGGAGUGCAAUCCAGCAGCAGUGCUGCCCACAGCUCCUCCUACUCCUGUUUACUACCAGACCUCUACCGAGGAUGUGGAGAAACACAGGUGGGCUGGCAUGGAGAAACCUACUGCCUGGUUGGUGACUACAGGGCCUAUGGGGAUGCUGCCAUCCCCACCCCAACAAAGCCCAGAGAAGAGAAGCCAGCAUCCAGGUGGCCCUAUAGGAAUCCUUCCAUUGUUAUCCCAGCAAAGGCUCAAAGCUGAGAAGCCAACAGCCAGCAGUGCCGCCCACAGCUCCUCCUACUCCUGUUUACUACCACAUCCUCUACUGAGGAUGUAG
rnacentral:lncRNA from 1 species